AGAUUCUUGUAUCUGAGAAACUGACCCAUCAUGGACAAAAUUUCAAGACCAAGGAGAAAGAAUGCCAUCUGGAAUUAAAGGAAGCAUGGCCCAGGCUCCAGCCGUGACCCUUGGUUCUUGGCACAUCAGCUCAAAAACAAGGCAUGAUGCAUAAUGUAUGUAUAUUAAUAAAGACUGUAUGCAGAAACUUCAAGACCAACAUUAAUAAAUGUGACACACUGGAACCUACUUCUCAGUGGAAUCCUACAAAGACCUAUUCCAGAACUGACCAAAUCAUCCUGAGAUCCCGUUGUUCCCCUUCAGAUAUGAUGGCCAGAUCAUCCUGGGGGCCCAGUGCUUCUUCCUUCUAAUUGUUCCUUCAAGAUAAAAGGUGAGACCUCUAGCCAAUGGCAUGACCCGGUGCUUUCCAGAUUCUUUCUGAUGCCAUGUGUAUUUAUAGGAAUGUGUAUAAUUAUUUCAUCAUGUGAUAUAUUUAAAACUAUGCCAGGAUCAAGAUAUAUUUUACCUGAGCAAGAGUUAGUCUUUUAGAGAAUUAUUUUUUUUUGUGAUAUUCCUAUGCUGCAUUUAAUAAUCUCUGCAUCCCUUGACAGUGCUUCUGGAUUAGUAAACCACUCCAUUUUUAUGUAUGUUGGGUUAGAAAUUUGGAAACUGCUACUUAUUUAGUUGGUCUCCAAAAGAAGUCCAUUGUGAAAGGAGAAACAAGGAACAAAAGUCUCCUGUACUAUAAUUGAAUUUUCUCUAAGUUUUCUAACACCAUUAUGGGAUUGAACACUAUAAAAACUUCUAAAUUUUAGCUAUGCUGCAGUUAAACCAAUAGACUAAGACCUAGUUUGAAUUAUAGCUGUGAAAUUGCAUUAUUCUAGAAAUAAUUCUAAUACAAAUGCCAUAAAAUAUGAUGAUUUUUUUUAGGGAGGAUUUAGGCUUUUCCCCCCCUCAAUUUUGCCUCAGAUGGUCUUAUGACAUCUUAUAGCAGUUCAAAGCUGAUUUACAACUGAUAAGAUGCAUUAGUCAAACGCUUAUUCAACUGCCAAAUCUGGUAUUGAUUCAAAGUGUUUUACAUUUCCUAUCUGUUUUGUCAAUAGUUUUAGGUUCCUGGCAUGGGCUUCUGGGCUGUGCUCCUGCUUUAUUACUGUUUAUCACCUCAAUUGAUCGAUCAAGUAUUAGUUCCAGUUGAUUGUUACUCAUUAAGUCUUCCUGUAAAAUUGUUCAGAGAAAGCUAACUCCUAUCUGUUUCAGAUGCUCUGUUUGAAUCCUGUGAAACCCAGAAAUGAAGCUUAAUUAUUUUAACUGAGAAAAGUGAAUCUCAAACAUGUGACCUGAAGCCAUCCAAAAAGCAAAGAACACCUGCUAACUUGGAAAGGGACAAAAUGUAAGAUAAGUCAGACAUUGGAUUGCAUAAUAUAGAGACUCUACAAAAUUUCUUGAUCUUAUAAUAGCACUCUGCUAAAUGUAGUAUGCAAAUGUUGUUGGGUGUUUUACAGAGCUGAGACCCUGCCCUAUGGGUUUUACAGUAAAAACCCAUCUCCUAAUAACUUACUGUAGCUGAAAUUCAGUGCAAGGCUAAGGGAAACAUAAUUCUUGAGAAGUGAUCCAAUCCAUCCAU
rnacentral:lncRNA from 1 species